GGCCUCGUAGCUCAGCUGGUAGAGCAUGCAUGUACAAAGCGUAGGCGGCGUCCAUGCGUGGGUUCGAAUCCCACUGAGGCUA
rnacentral:tRNA from 1 species